rnacentral:rRNA from 1 species
GAGGACCAUCUCCUAAGGCUAAAUACUCUCUAGUGACCGAUAGUGAACCAGUACCGUGAGGGAAAGGUGAAAAGCACCCCGGAAGGGGAGUGAAAUAGAACCUGAAACCGUGUGCUUACAAGUAGUCAGAGCCCGUUAAUGGGUGAUGGCGUGCCUUUUGUAGAAUGAACCGGCGAGUUACGAUUUGAUGCAAGGUUAAGCAGUAAAUGUGGAGCCGUAGCGAAAGCGAGUCUGAAUAGGGCGUUUAGUAUUUGGUCGUAGACCCGAAACCAGGUGAUCUACCCUUGGUCAGGUUGAAGUUCAGGUAACACUGAAUGGAGGACCGAACCGACUUACGUUGAAAAGUGAGCGGAUGAACUGAGGGUAGCGGAGAAAUUCCAAUCGAACCUGGAGAUAGCUGGUUCUCUCCGAAAUAGCUUUAGGGCUAGCCUCAAGUGAUGAUUAUUGGAGGUAGAGCACUGUUUGGACGAGGGGCCCCUCUCGGGUUACCGAAUUCAGACAAACUCCGAAUGCCAAUUAAUUUAACUUGGGAGUCAGAACAUGGGUGAUAAGGUCCGUGUUCGAAAGGGAAACAGCCCAGACCACCAGCUAAGGUCCCAAAAUAUAUGUUAAGUGGAAAAGGAUGUGGCGUUGCCCAGACAACUAGGAUGUUGGCUUAGAAGCAGCCAUCAUUUAAAGAGUGCGUAAUAGCUCACUAGUCGAGUGACACUGCGCCGAAAAUGUACCGGGGCUAAACAUAUUACCGAAGCUGUGGAUUGUCCUUUGGACAAUGGUAGGAGAGCGUUCUAAGGGCGUUGAAGCAUGAUCGUAAGGACAUGUGGAGCGCUUAGAAGUGAGAAUGCCGGUGUGAGUAGCGAAAGACGGGUGAGAAUCCCGUCCACCGAUUGACUAAGGUUUCCAGAGGAAGGCUCGUCCGCUCUGGGUUAGUCGGGUCCUAAGCUGAGGCCGACAGGCGUAGGCGAUGGAUAACAGGUUGAUAUUCCUGUACCACCUAUA